UCAGUCUGAUUAAAACCAGCCCCACUAUCCAAAAACUCAAGUGGAAAGUGGGGCUGGUUUUAAUCAGACUAAAUGA
rnacentral:sRNA from 1 species